GUAGGGGGCAAGCGUUGUCCGGAAUUAUUGGGCGUAAAGCGCGCGCAGGCGGUCUCUUAAGUCCGAUGUGAAAGCCCACGGCUCAACCGUGGAGGGUCAUUGGAAACUGGGGGACUUGAGUGUAGGAGAGGAAAGUGGAAUUCCACGUGUAGCGGUGAAAUGCGUAGAUAUGUGGAGGAACACCAGUGGCGAAGGCGACUUUCUGGCCUACAACUGACGCUGAGGUGCGAAAGCGUGGGGAGCAAACAGGGAUUAGAUACCCUGGUAGUCCACGCCGCAAACGAUGAGUGCUAGGUGUUAGGGGUUUCGAUGCCCUUAGUGCCGAAGUUAACACAUUAAGCACUCCGCCUGGGGAGUACGACCGCAAGGUUG
rnacentral:rRNA from 1 species